ensembl:lncRNA
AUGUUCUUGGUUUCCCUGCCUUCUGAUUUCUGUGGAUUUUCACUCCUUCCGGGAGCCAGUGGUCAAACACCAUUUCACUGUGACCAACAGGUGCACACUCUGAGCCCCAAGGGAAGGGGCUGCGCUCCACCUCCCUGCCCCGGUUGUUCUGUGUAUGUCCCUACAAGAAUACUCACCUCUUGCCUUCAGGUGGCAUUUUUCAACGACGCUGGAGCCAGUGCCCAGGAAGAGCAAAGGGUGUGCUGCCAGCCCCUGGCUCACCCAGUGGCUUCAUCCCAGAGGACCCCAGGGACUGGGGAUCUUCGUGGCUGAGCCUCACUGACAGCGUGGAGCCUGCACCAGGAGAGGCCAGAGAGGGUUCUCCCCACCACAACCCCACGGCACAGCAGAUCGUGCAGCUGCUUCCUCUAACGCAGGACUCUCCAGGAGCACCGAGGCUUGGGCAGCAACCCCUGCAUGCCAUUCUUUUCACCGUGCCGAGAUCAGGCAGAUAAACAUCACCAUCAUCUAAGAGCUGGUCAAGAAAUUUAAAAACAAACAAACAAAAAAAGUUUAGGGGUUAAUCUCCUACACAAUUCAUUUACUUCAUUUGAAUAUUAGAGCCACUCAUGUUUAUUUGUGUUUCUAACUUAGUUUAAAUUUAUUUGUAAAAAUUACAGAAGAGUGGGUCUUUCCCUCAUGUUCACUAUGGCAUCCUUUAGCAUUUUUCUUUUUAUUUGAUAACUGUAGGUCAUUAGCACGCAUAUCGAAUUUGCCCUAUGUGUUGGGAGUUCAAACACGCAAAGACCCACUAUAUGCACAAAACUGUUCUUGCUGGUUUGGAAUAGGCUGCCAUGAUUUUUUAAUGUUAUUGCAGCAUGUAUAUUCAUUACGGAAUUCAGAUAAAAUUUGCCUAUGUUCUGCUAGUAUGCUUGAUUGACUCCUAAUCACAGUGAGCUCUUCAUUAGCUCAAUAUGUGGUUUGCCCUCAAGUGCGCUGUUUAUUAGUUUGUAAUGUGCCACUGUGAGUAGUGACAUUUACAGUUGUUUAAAGAUGGAACACUGGAGAGAGCCUUUCUCCCUUUUUCUGUGUAUUGGCGAUGGUAUUAACAUUUUGGGAGAUUUUAAAUCUCCCAAAGGAGGAAAGUGGCCUGCUCUGGCAGAUGUGUGCAGGAUAGAAUACGUUUCAUUUGUUUUGGAGCCAAGAAUGAGUGCGUUACUAUGGUACUCCCCUUAGGAUUUGUAUGUGCUCUGGACUCCUGAAGAUAUUACUCCUUUUUGAUAACCUAAAAAGGGAUUGUACCACUGUUAAUUAGCCAAAUUAUUUGGUCUAACAGUUUUUCUUUAUCAUUCUGAAACUGGGUUUUUCUAAUACAUUGAUAAAUUAUUUCAAAGGUAUUUUGAUAGUUCAAAUCACUUCACUUUUACCCUGACACAUAUGAAUGUCUAGGAAUGACCUUCAGAUAGCGUUUAGCAUCUGUAACCUAUCUGACAAUAAUGUGUUCAUCAGGUACCUAUGGAUUAAACCACAUACCGGCAUAUUUAAGCUGAAUGUCAGUUUGAAAAAUAAAUGUGCUAUAUUACCUGAAAUACUACUCUUUGUGUAGGUAUUUUGUCAUAAGUUUAAGAAAAAGCUAAAAAGAUGGAAAUCCUAUAACAAUAACUUAAGUCUUUCUUCUAAGUGCAUGCAGUCAUUUGCAAUACCUCAUUCAGCCAAGUAUUUGUUCUCUUCCUCAUUCAGUAUAAGGCAGCUUUCAAUUUGCUUAGAAGGCGACAUUAGAAGGUUAGAGUUCAGCAGAAACAUAGAAUUUUAAAGUGUGAGUUCAACUGAAUAAAUUUGAACUUCUGUAGGAAGUAAAGAAUCAAAAUGCCUAUUGAAAGACUGCAAUAUAUGAAAAUUAUUUUUAAAGUGUUUGAUUAAACCUGAUAGGUUUUCCCAAAAUGAAAAAACUCAGUUCUAAAACCAAAGCUGCUUUCUACAAAACAUGAAAAUGUAAAUCACCCCAUCCAUAAUAGCUUCUCUAAAACUUUAUCUUACAGUCACUUUCAAAUAACUAUUCAAAAAUGUAACUGCUGUAUUAAUGUCUUGAAAUAAGUUAAAACAUUUUAAAAUAUGAACACCAUAGUUUAAAGGAAAGAAUCUAGGGGAAGGAAAAGUAGAGAAAGAAAUGCCAGUUCCAGUCCAAAGCUUUAUUUGCCAAGUUUUCUUAGACUUACUUUUACCAACUUAUGAUUUCUUGUAAACAGAAUGUAUAAUAGAAAUACUGACUUUUGUCUAACGUGGCAUUCUUGACUGCUUCUGUGAUGCUACUAUAAUGUAAUAAAUUAUGAAAUUCUUGCAAGGUGCUGUUUUUGCCUUAAAAUUUUGUGUGUCUUGAAAAUUCUAGUAUUAAAGGCAUUGAGACUGUGCAAAUGCCGGGAACAUUGGCAUGAGAUAAUCAGUUUUUAUUCUCACAAAAUUGUAACUAUGUAAGUGUGUUUAUUAAAAGAACAUAAACUAAAAAGGUUACAGGAAUUAAAAGUUGUGGAAUGAAAAAGUUACGGGAUAAAAAAUACGGUGGAAAAGUUGUGGCAAAAAAGUUGUGAAAAAAAGUAAAAAAAAAAAGUUUUAUGCAAAGUUUUUUUAAAAAGUUAUGAAAAAGAAGUUACUGGAUUUGAAAAAAAAAUCAUGGAAUAAAAAUAAAUAAAAGCAGGCCCCUGUCAGCAUAAGCCUGGGGAAGUGGGUCUGCAGUCUUCGCCCACACUAUGUCCCUACAACCCCUUCCCAGUCACCCCUUUACCAUUAGGUAGCAACACAAGACCCCUGUCUAAUGGAGGGAGAAAAACAGACCCUUUACCACCUUGACCAAGGCUAAGUCUUUACAUUUCUGGAUGAUGAUGUUUGUUAUUUAAGAGCCAGAGGUUGAUGGAGUUGGUUUGUUUGGAGGAGGUGUGAUGGCCUCCUUACUUUUCCCUCAGGGGGGCUCCCAUCUUCUUACUCAGAGAGGCAUCUGAGGUGGGACAGUGGAGCUAACUGUAGACCAGGCGAGGGCACGGGCUGCUAGGGGUGACCCGCCCUUCCCCCAUGUACAUACUGUAUCUGUGUAACAUUCUGUAUGUAUUGUACCUAGUGGAGGUUGCAGCCGGCAUAUGAAGAAGAGGUUCUGAUAGUUAUUUGCAGCUGGGAAACUUAUUUAUUGCUAGCAUAGGAGUGAGGAAGGAGGCGGGGAUGGAGUCAUGGCUCCCUAGUGAUGGGACUCCCGUUUUCUUGUUUUUUAUUUGGGAAUAAAUGGAUUUAGCCAUACUGCUCAGCCUGGUAUGUUCCCGUUUCCCUCAGUGGGUCCUGCAGUUUGUCCCAUUGAAGGAGGAGCCCCAGAGCGUGUGAGCAUGUCCAGUUGGGCUGCUGGGAAUCUUCCAGGCCUGUUGCCUGUAUGCUGCCUGGUGACACCUGGUAGAUUUCACGGGGACUGCCAUGACGCCUAAUGGGCACAGUGCAGCCCUGACGGCCAACAGGUUCAGAAGACUGAUCUAGCUGUGGCCAGGAAGACAGAUACCAGCACUGACUUUCACCCACCCCAGGUGUCUUCCAUUCCAUCCUCCUGCCUCCUUCUCCUGUCUGCACCAGGUGGGCUGUCUGUCCAGAGUGCCUGCUGCCCCGCAGGCUCCCCCCAGGCUGAGUUCACGGCCCUGCCCCCUAGUGGCCAGAGCCGGCGUCACAGGAUAAGAGCCAGCUAAGCUCCAGGGACUUUCCAGGAAAAGCGUCCCUUGGAAAGGGUAUGACCUUUUCACCG